UCUCUUUUUAGUGCUCCUCACCUCAUUUGCUCUUUACUGAGCUUAAAAAAUAGUCUUAAAAAGCCUCCACUAUUUUGACAUCUUUUUAAGUUGAUUUGAUCUCAGCUCAAACGCGGCUAAGUAUGGCGGAAUCCAUGGGGGUUCCGGCGACCGAUACAGACCUUGUGACUUACGGUUUUGAGGCCGAGGCUGCUGGUGAUUCGGCUCAUCCCUCAGUGACAUCUCAUCACACUGCAGCACAGUGCUGCUCCUCCGUCCUUUAUCUUGGUUUUUAGGGAGAUUAAGUCCUGUGGAUUUGUCUUAUGCUUCCUGACGUAGUUUGUCCUUUCGCCAUUUGUCCUGUGCAAUGUGUGAAACAGACGUCUGCCGAGCUGACACCUAGACAGGUGAUCGACACACUUGGAGUCAUUGAAGAUGCAAGGAAAACUGGUGUGCACUCUACCAUCCUGAGGAACAGUUGAGAUUAAAGACCUCAGGAGCACGGGCAGAGGGAGGCACCUUCUGAAGUCUUCUACACAAAGCUUUUCUGGAAACUGUGAUGACAGCUACUGGUGGGAAAAAAUCACCAGCAACCACAGUCAUUUCCCUGCUGCCAGGUAACUGGCUGGCACCUGAACCACUUCUUAUGGCAGACUCCCGUCGACUCGUUUGUUCUCUCUUGCUCAUUUGAUAUAGAUAGGGCAUUAUCGCUGUUUCACAUCUCUUGCUUUGGAUAGAGAGAAAAGUUCAUUUUUUUUUUCUUUUUCCUUUUGAGACAGGGUCUCACUAUGUAGCCCAGGUUGGCCUGGAACUUGUUAUCUGUAGACCAGGUUAACCUCCCGUUCCCAGAAAUAUUGCUCUCUUGCCUCUGCCUCCUGAGAGCUGGGGUUAUAGUGCACCAUCAUGUUCCACUAAGAAGUUUGUUUCGUUUUGUUUGUCAAGACAGGGUUUCUCUGUGUAACAGCUUUGCCUAUCCUGGAACUCACUUCAUAGACCAGGCUGACCUCGAACUCACAGAGAUUCACCUGCCUCUGUCCCCUAAGUUCCCAAGGGCUGGAACUAAAAGGAGAAGCUCAUUUUCAAAGAGCAGAGAAAUGAUAAGCCACAGUCUCGAUAUAAACUAAAGAUCUUGUUGAAGAAUAAAGAGCCCUGGACAGGAGACCAAGGCCACAAAGAAGACAAAGUUAGUUGAAUGAGAAACCUUGUCCUCAGCUGUCGGGAAGGCUGCCUGCCAGCAAGAAGCCCUCAACUGUCAGUCCACUAUAGUGGUUACCUCAGCUUGGCGAAGAUCACUCCCUUUCCUCCUGGUGGCCUGUAUCCAAAGACUAAUGAACGUGGGUGUAUAAAGGCCCAGCCCUUUGCCCGAAUUCAGAAAAUCUUGAAGGUUAUCCAGGUCCAUUGCUUUUUAGAGGACCAACUGAGCCCUCUGAGGUAUUAUAGCUCUCUUCUCCUGUUUCAGACUUUUACACUUUUUCUUUCCUUUCUUUCCUUUUAGACAUGGUCUCACUCCAAAGCCCAGGCUGGUCUGGAGCUCACAGAUGCCUGCUGCAUUCCGCUCUGUGUGUGUGUCUGGAGCAGGGGUGGGGGCAGGACAUGCCACACUUGACUGUGAAGAUCAUAAAAUAACCUCAAGUGUCAGUGCGUCUUUCAUCUUCUCUGAGUCAGGGUUUCAUCCGUUGCUCCUGGCUGCAUAUAGACCAGACUCUCCACCUCAAGAGUUUCUGGGUACUCUCCACCUCAGUAAGACUGGUGGAAUCAUAAUUGGGCUCUAGUUUCUGUGGCUUCUGGAAUUCCAAUUCAGGUUCUCAUCCGCUCACAGCAAGAGAUCUGUCCACUGAACCAUCUCUCAAGCCCAAAGACCACAUCACAGAGAUUUAACCAUCGUUAUGGUUUAGAUACAGUUUCAGUGGGUGCCCUGGGGAGGGGGUUCACGUCCUCAAAGUUUUGUCCACGGUAGCAGUGUGAGUAGUUGAACCUUUCAGGGGUGGAAUCUAGUGAAUGGUGAUUAGGUUAUCAGAGAUACUGUUCUUGGAAGAGAUACAUAAGGUUAUGAAAACAUCCUCAUUAGUUCUUUUAGAAUGAAUCGUUACACAGCAAGGCUACCCAACAUGCUUAGCCCUUUCUGCAUACAGUCUCUUGCCUUUCUGAGUCUCUACCAUGUUGUUACAUAGACAAGGAGGGGGGUUUCAGGCUUGAUGAAGCAGCUUGAUCUUCAGCUCACAGCAUUCACAACUGUGAGCUAAAUAAUCCUGUUUUCUUUCUUUUUUGGGGGGGGAUUCGAGAGAGGGUUUCUCUGUA